GGUUUAAUUACCCAAGUUUGAGGUAAUUGAAUGUUUCGGCCCAGAGUUUCGGCUGCUAUUAGCGGGACAACAAAUGUCCGAAAGACUAAA
rnacentral:snRNA from 13 species